rnacentral:rRNA from 1 species
AUUGAACGCUGGCGGCAGGCCUAACACAUGCAAGUCGAGCGGAUGAAGGGAGCUUGCUCCUGGAUUCAGCGGCGGACGGGUGAGUAAUGCCUAGGAAUCUGCCUGGUAGUGGGGGAUAACGUCCGGAAACGGGCGCUAAUACCGCAUACGUCCUGAGGGAGAAAGUGGGGGAUCUUCGGACCUCACGCUAUCAGAUGAGCCUAGGUCGGAUUAGCUAGUUGGUGGGGUAAAGGCCUACCAAGGCGACGAUCCGUAACUGGUCUGAGAGGAUGAUCAGUCACUCUGGAACUGAGACACGGUCCAGACUCCUACGGGAGGCAGCAGUGGGGAAUAUUGGACAAUAGGCGAAAGCCUGAUCCAGCCAUGCCGCGUGUGUGAAGAAGGUCUUCGGAUUGUAAAGCACUUUAAGUUGGGAGGAAGGGCAGUAAGUUAAUACCUUGCUGUUUUGACGUUACCAACAGAAUAAGCACCGGCUAACUUCGUG